rnacentral:lncRNA from 8 species
AUGGAUGCGGUGGUUGCUCUAUCACAGAGCAAAGCUACUAAGCAGGACACCAGAGCUGGACCUGUGGCAGAGAAAUACCGCAGGCACAUCCCAGUGGACAAAGUGGUGGAGAUGGUCCAAACUGACCAGGCGGAGAAAGAGGAGCUUCUUGACAGCAGCAUUGUCCCUGACACCCAGCCUACCAUGAAAACAGAGAGAACUAUAUUCUCCCACUGGAGGAAAGUGUCUGUAUCUGAGAUGCUGCUGCCGGUACAGAGAGGCUUCCAGAAGGCACUGCCCAAACCAGAACUUGAGAACUUAGAGCAACAGGAGCGUCCGUCGUCUGCCCAGAGAGGUUCUGGGUCGGUCCCUGGGUCAGCAGUCGGCCACAAGCAGCUCCACGCCCAGCUCACCCAGCGCCUGGAGGAGGUCCUCCGCAAGAGGGACCGGGGUACUGGGCCCGAGGAGCGAGCUGGAGCCCAGAUCAGAGUGCCUGAGGAGCGAGGUGGGCCACAGGACCAAGGGUCCCGAGAGCGAGCUGGAGCCCAGAAAGGAAGCAGGCCUGAGGAGCAAAGUGGAGCCCAGGGAGGAAGAGGGCCUGAGGAGCGAGAUGGAGCCCAGGGAGGAAGAGGGCCUGAGGAGCGAGGUGAGCCCACUGGGAGAGAUGCCAAAGAGUCACGGCAGGAUGCAGGAAGGCUUGCUCAGACCAAGGGGAAACCUAAGAGCCAGAAGUCUCAGGAAACUGAAGCCACCCCAGGGAAAGCCCCUGUCAAACCCACCCCAGCUAAAGAUAUACAGGAGAGGUCAACACCCAACUCCAAGGUUAAGGCCACUGGGUCAAACUCCAGUAAAGACAAGAGAGAGGAGGAAGUGACAGGCACCAUGAUGAGGUUAAUCUCCAGCCACUACGAGAAUAGCACAUCAUCCACCACCAUUAAAUCCCCUGUAGAGUCUGUCCCUCGCUGGCCCCUUCCACCCACCAACAGGUACUGCAGCAACAGGUACUGCAGGAACAAAACCAAGUGA